UUGCUCAGCCCUCCGACUCUACUCACAUGCUCAUCUCCCUUACCCCCUCCGCCCAAACAGAUCCUGAUGCUCCAUGCUGUGGCCGUCGAGGGGUGCUCCAGCACAGCUGCACUAGCUAAUCACCCCUCUUCCUUCCGUGCCAUGGAUCCCAAGUUUGCCUCUUGCACCUCUCACGCCUUUCCUUCCCCAUGGUUUCUAGGCAGUACAUGGUAAGAUGCGGGCUUUAUCGUUUCUGGUGGGUUUGGUAAUCAAAUGCUGAGAUGCAGUAUCGUUGCUGCUAAAUUGUUUAUCCCCAGCGAUUUCAUCUUUGUGCGGGUGGGUAUUUCAGUGCAGUAUGUUUGGUUCAGUAGGUCUGUUCAUGCAAUUGGACGCUGAUAUAAUUUAGGCCUGAGCAAGUGCUGGUUCCUAACUUAGGUACAUGAGGUGGUACAUAUCCAGAAAGCUCGCAGCUGUAGCUUCAUAGGGUACGAAUGGCUACAAAUUUGAAGCAGGGAAAUACAUGGAAAUGGGAAAUGCCUAACGAAGGGCCUAAAGGAUGUAUGUGAACCAAUAGAAAGCCAAUGCCACGUUUGGAUCUGAUGUGCAGGAUGAGUGGCCUCUACAAACAGGGCAUCAUUAUUCAUUAUUCCAAUUGCUCUUCCAUAUGCUAACUAAUCAGUGUAAGUUUUUCUGAUCUACUACUAACACAAUUGACAAAUCCUUAUAUGACAACAUGCAUGGGUCCAUUGCCUUCUUUGCCUCAGUACCACCAUGCUUACUUCCAAUAUAUAAGCUUCAAAUCAAUGGUAGUAAAAAAAAAUAGAUUAAAGAAAUUCAUGUGCAGGCUUGCAGAAGUCUGCCUAUGUAUACAAUUUAUAAUUGGAUUUCAGUCUAAUCAAACUACUUUAUUAAGGUUGUACCUCCUUUUGAAUACUGGCUUAACUAUUGACCAGCUUCCACAUUUAUGUUAGCAUGUGUCCGAU